UCAGUUCUAGUUCAGUUCUAGUUCAGUUCUAGUUCAGUUCUAGUUCAGUUCUAGUUCAAUUCUAGUUCAAUUCUAGUUCAAUUCUAGUUCAAUUCUAGUUCAGUUCUAGUUCUGUUCUAGUUUUUGAAAGCACCAGAUAUCUCGGAAUCCAAAUUUUCAAUAAUAUAUGAACAAAUAGUUUUCCUUCGAAAAUUCAAAUUUGAACUUCAGUAAACUUUUUUUGUAAAAUUAAACUUUUUCUUUCAAUUUGUUAUAGUUUUUUUUUUUCGUAUAAUUUUCUAAUAAUAUUCCCAAAUCUUUAAACACUUAUUGCCAUUCAAAAUAAAACAAUUACAACUUUCAAUACUUACGUACAAACUCACGCGACGUUUAACGAACAAAAAAAAAACACUACUUUGAACACUAUAACAAAAACAAUAACGAAAACUAAACAAAAAUUAAAUAAAUGUAAUGAAAUUUUUAUAAAAUUAAAAAAAAAGAACACAACCGUUUAAGAUCUUUUACCCACAGUAAUAAUAUAAAAUAAUAACUAAAACAUUUAGGUAUUGAGUACAUCAUAAACGGCUUCAAAGGAAAACUUUUACAAAACUAUGCAAAAUGAGUCUAUGAGAUAUAGGAAUUUUAAAUCAGAUUUUGCUGAAUACGGAAACCUUUUUUGAAAUAACAUCGAAUUUUGAGAGACAAAUUUAGAAGAACGUUUCAAAAAGAAAUUAUUAGUCGCAAAACUAAAAUUUAUAUUUUGUAGGAAAUUUUUAAAAUUGAAUUAAACGUUUUUUCAUCCGUUUUUUUUUUUUUUUUUUCAAAUUUGUAAAAGUUUUUCUUUAAAGUCGUUAUAAUAAAUACAAGUUUCAUGUAUGUUUUUAUGCCGUAGUAUGAAGAAAUGAUAUGAUGAUGGUUUGUUGUGAGAACGUUGCUGAUGAUGAUAUGAUAAUGAUAAUUACGAGUGUGAACAAAAAAAACAUUAUGUGUGUGCAUGUCAUUUUUGAAAUUUCUAUUUACAGUUUUAAAUAAUCUACUUACUACAUAAUACUAAUUAUAUAAAAAUGUCGAAAGAGAAAUAAUUCAAGCUGCUAAUGGAAAACCUACUCUACGUACAUGUAAAGCAGUAUCCCUGUUUGAAUGUGUCUGAAAGAAUGUUGUAUUCAUUUUUCAUUAAUGUGAGUGUGACGAAUGUGAUUUUGAUGAAUUUGAAACUCAUUAUAAAAAAAAAACUAUUCUUUCUUAAAAUUAAAAGUUGAAUGAAUGAAGGGGCUGAAUGAUGAUGAUAAUGGUAAUAUAUUGGUGAUUGGUUUCAUUCAUCUAAAACUUUAAAACACAAAAAUUAAAAAAAAAAUAAAUAAAAACAAAAAUGAUGUACCUAUACACUUAUGCAAAACUGAACGUGUGAGAGAUUGUGCAAAUUAUAAUUUAAUUUUCAAUUAAAAUUAAGUAUAAAUGAUGAUAAUGAUAUUGAUGAGUAAUGAUGCUUGUUAAAAAAUCAUAAGUGCGGGUGCUGAUCAUUCCAUGUGUGUAGUAUUACUAAAAAGAAUUUAAAAAAAAAACGUAUGAGUAUUUUAUGAAUCUUCUAAAACAUAACUGAUAAUAAUAUGAAUGAUUUUAUGAAUCUUCUUAUUAAUAUUAAUAUAGUAUAUAAUACGAAUCUAUAGUAUGUUUGUAUGUGUGUGUUAUGUAUGUGUGCGUACGUAUGUAUGUGUGUUAACAUGACAGCAGACAUAACAAAUACAAUAAAAAUACGAAAGACUUAAAUAAUUGCAAAACAAAAAAAAUAAUAAUUAAAAUUACAACUUAACGGACCAAAACAAUGGUUAAAAACUUGACAUUUAAAUGACUGAAUAUAAAAUUACAAAACAAAAAACAACAAUAGCAACGAAUUAACUAACUAACUACCAAUAAAUAAUAAAGGACUAACUUAAACAUAAAAAAACAACAAUUUUAUAUAAAGAAAUUGUUUACAUAUUUCAUUUUGCAUUUGACAGCGUCUUCAACUAAAAAUUCUUAAAGUCUAUUUCAAAUUUUAGAUAAAUAAACUAACUUUCCUUCAGUUUAUCAUUAGUAGUUAGAAUAUUAGAAAAAAAUCAUAGUUCGUAUGAAUUCGCGUGUAUUUUGUUUUCAUUGUAGCUCAACUACAUAGUUUUGUAUGACUCUGUGUGUGUUUUUAGUUGUGAUUGUUUUAUCAUAAUUAAUUUUUAAUCUAACAAAAAAAGACAGUGUUUAAAUCUUAAAAAAUAUAUAUAAAUUUCUAUAUUCCUUAAUUAACCAUUGGAUUCAUUAAAUUUCUAACUUUAACUCUAUCUCUCUCCCUGUCUAACACUCUCCCUCCCACAUAUCUUUCUCUUGUAGUAGUUGUAUUAAAAUUAGUAAAAGUAAAUAUUCAAUUUUUUAUUAUAUCUAUAAAAUUACAAACAAAUAAAAACUCAUCCUGUUUUUUCAGUACUUGUUAAAGUGAUUUAAUUUUCAGAAACUUAAACUAAUAUUAAAAAGAAAAAUAAACAUUUAUUAAAUUUAAGAUAAAAAAAAAACAUUGUAAUUUGUAUGACUGAUAGUUUGUACGUUUAAAAUUUAUGUGUGUGAAAAUAAAGAUUCUUAUUGUUUUCUUUCGACGCAAAAAAA